rnacentral:misc_RNA from 1 species
AAGAACCCCAAAAUCCAGACUCUCCUUUUCCUUAUAAACCACUUUAACUUCCUCUCUCCUAUCACUGAGAGUGAGAAAAUUCAGAAAAUAUGGGAGCUUAUUGCAAUGGAGAUGUCUCUUUGCAUCCCGUCAAUGGACUUUCCCCCUCUCACAAUCUCCGAUUACUCAAGCAAGUUCACGACAAUGUCCAUGGCAACAUAUAUAUGGAUCCCUUCUGUUUGAAAUUUAUGGAUACCGAGCAGUUUCAGAGGCUUCGAGAGCUCAAGCAACUAGGUGCAACCCACCUGGUUUAUCCUGGGGCUGUGCAUUCUAGGUUUGAGCAUUCUCUUGGUGUAUAUUGGCUUGCCGGUGAAGCUGUGGAAAGGCUGAAAAAUUACCAGGGUUUGGAGUUAGGUAUUGAUUACUUUGAUAUUCAGACAGUGAAGCUUGCAGGACUUCUGCAUGAUGUGGGCCAUGGUCCUUUCAGUCACUUGUUUGAACGUGAGUUUCUCCCCAGGGUUCUAAAUGGUGCAAAAUGGUCUCAUGAACAAAUGUCUGCAAAAAUGAUUGACCAUAUUGUUGACGAGCACUAUAUUGAUGUUGACUCUGAAAUGAUGAGAAGAGUUAAGGAGAUGAUACUAGCUAGCUCAGAAUUUACACAAAGAAGAGACACAAAGGAGAAGUGCUUCUUGUAUGAUAUUGUUGCAAAUGGUCGAAAUGGAAUCGAUGUGGACAAGUUUGAUUACAUUGUCCGUGAUUGUCGAGCUUGUGGUCUAGGAUGUAGUUUUGAGUUUCAGAGGUUAAUGGAGACAAUGCGAGUUAUGGGUGAUGAGAUUUGCUAUCGCGCGAAGGACUAUCUUACCAUUCACAAGUUGUUUGCCACCCGUGCUGAUCUUUAUCGCACAGUUUAUACUCAUCCAAAAGUAAAGGCAAUAGAACUUAUGAUGGUUGAUGCCUUGUUGAAAGCAAAUGAUUAUCUGCAACUGUCAUCUUACAUUCAAGAUCCUUCAGAAUAUUGGAAGUUAGAUGACACGAUAAUCAAAACUAUUGAGACAGCUCCUGAUGAACAACUAAGGGAAUCUAGGGAUUUGAUCCUGCGGAUACGCAGGAGAAAUUUGUACCAGUUUUGCAAUGAGUACGCUGUUCCUAGGGACAAGGUGGAAAAUUUCAAAGAUGUCACUGCACAGGAUAUUGUUUGUUCCCAGAAAAACGGUGGUGUGCUACUGAAGGAAGAUGAUAUUGCAGUAAGCAAUGUUAGGAUUGAUUUGACUCGUGGAAGGCAUAAUCCUCUUGAAAGCAUCAAUUUUUUCAAGGAUUAUGAAAGUGAGGAGAAAUUUUCCAUACCUGAUGAUCGCAUCAGUCACUUGCUGCCUACAUCUUAUCAAGAUAUGAUAGUGAGGGUCUACUCAAAAAAGCCUGAACUGGUAGCAGCAGUCUCUGAGGCUUUUGAAAAUUUCCAGUUGAGAACUUAUGGGAUUAAGGCACAAGUGCAUGCAACUCCAGAGAAGAAGAAACGUCGGACAUGAGGUUUUCAUUGUCUAU